GUGCACACGCUCUCUCUCUCUCUCCAUCACUCUGUUACUUUAUACACACGAGCACUCGAUCAUGUGUUUUGAGAAACAAAUUAAGUUUAUCUUAGCGCAGUUGUGCGACUUGUAAAUAAAACAAGUCAAUCAUUGUCAUCGUCCUGGUCUGUCUGUAGCCGGGGUAGCCAUAUGUCACACGCUGCAACCCUCGGUUCUACACUGGGCUUAUAAACAUUGUCGGGCAGGACUUGUCACCCCUCCUCACCCCACCCGACUCCUUCUGACGUGUGUCGGCGUGUCCGGGUCGUACAGCCGGGUCUUUGAGCUGGAUGGGGAAUCCCUUGUCAUCAGUGGUCAUUAUGCGACGCAGUACAAAGUCCUGAGCUUUGCUGGGCUCAACCAGGAAGGUCUCUGUCAGCUGGACAAAUUGGGAGACGUUCAAGUUGUCUUCAUCAAAUGCUGAUGUCUGUGACUGGCUACGUGCAAGGCUCAAUCCUGCCAUUCAAAGAUUUUUUUCAUUUAAGAUGUGUUCAUGUUAAAAUUCAUAUUCAUUUCAAGCUGUAAAGAAAAAUAGUCAAAAUUUUGCCACUCAAUCAAAAGUAACACUUAAGAAAAGUGAAAAGCUUUGCAAUCCUUGAGGUAAAAUGUCUAUGCAAUUUUUUAAUGAAGAUUUUCUGAUAUAUUGUUGAAUUCCUGAUGUUUCAUCGGAACCAAAGAACUGGUUGUGAAAAAGCAUGAAAAAGUUGAAAAC
rnacentral:lncRNA from 1 species